UUUCCAGUCAUUCUGGGUCUCACAUCAGAACGAAGUAGUCUGAGUUUCUGACAACAGUGGAACUUCCAGGAUGUCUUACUUGUGGAUACAUUUGAGUCUGCUGUGUGCUGCUACUAUUCUACAAAGCAGUGCUUCAAAUGGAGAUUCAAACGUGUCACUUAAGUGCAACGACACAGUGGAGGUUGUUGCUGGAAAAAAUGUGACACUAAACUGCAGAAUCAUUUACAGGCC